GUCUACGGCCAUACCACCCUGAACAUGCCCAAUCUUGUCUGAUCGUGGAAGCUAAGCAGGGUCAGGCCUGGUUAGUACUUGGGAUGGGAGAAAAUAGAAAGACAGACACUUGCAGAUC
ensembl:rRNA 5S_rRNA 5S ribosomal RNA